CAGCAGCCACGGUAAUACGUAGGUGGCAAGCGUCGUCCGGAAUUAUUGGGCGUAAAGGGCUCGCAGGCGGUUUCUUAAGUCUGAUGUGAAAGCCCCCGGCUCAACCGGGGAGGGUCAUUGGAAACUGGGAAACUUGAGUGCAGAAGAGGAGAGUGGAAUUCCACGUGUAGCGGUGAAAUGCGUAGAGAUGUGGAGGAACACCAGUGGCGAAGGCGACUCUCUGGUCUGUAACUGACGCUGAGGAGCGAAAGCGUGGGGAGCGAACAGGAUUAGAUACCCCAGUAGUCCCUGUCUCUUAUAC
rnacentral:rRNA from 1 species